GCCACGGUGGUCUAGCGGUUAGGACUCUGGCCUUGUAAUCCUGGGGUCUCGGGUUCGAUUCCCGGCGGUGCCC
rnacentral:tRNA from 1 species